rnacentral:rRNA from 4 species
UUGGUUAAGUUAGAAAGGGCGCACGGUGGAUGCCUUGGCACUAGGAGCCGAAGAAGGACGGGACUAACACCGAUAUGCUUUGGGGAGCUGUACGUAAGCGUUGAUCCAGAGAUUUCCGAAUGGGGGAACCCACUAUCUUUAGUCGGAUAGUAUCCUUACGUGAAUACAUAGCGUGAGGAAGGCAGACCCAGGGAACUGAAACAUCUAAGUACCUGGAGGAAGAGAAAGAAAAAUCGAUUUCCUGAGUAGCGGCGAGCGAAACGGAAAGAGCCCAAACCAAGAAGCUUGCUUCUUGGGGUUGUAGGACACUCUAUACGGAGUUACAAAAGAAAGUUAUAAAUGAAGCGGUCUGGAAAGGCCCGCCAAAGACGGUAACAGCCCGGUAGUUGAAAUGGCUUUCCCUCCAGAGUGGAUCCUGAGUACGGCGGAACACGUGAAAUUCCGUCGGAAUCCGGGAGGACCAUCUCCCAAGGCUAAAUACUCCCUAGUGACCGAUAGUGAACCAGUACCGUGAGGGAAAGGUGAAAAGCACCCCGGAAGGGGAGUGAAACAGUUCCUGAAACCGUGUGCCUACAAGUAGUUAGAGCCCGUUAAUGGGUGAUAGCGUGCCUUUUGUAGAAUGAACCGGCGAGUUACGAUUUGUUGCAAGGUUAAGCGGAAAAAGCGGAGCCGUAGCGAAAGCGAGUCUGAAUAGGGCGAAUAAGUAACAGGUCGUAGACCCGAAACCAGGUGAUCUACCCAUGUCCAGGAUGAAGGUAAGGUAAUACUUACUGGAGGUCCGAACCCACGCACGUUGAAAAGUGCGGGGAUGAGGUGUGGGUAGCGGAGAAAUUCCAAUCGAACUUGGAGAUAGCUGGUUCUCUCCGAAAUAGCUUUAGGGCUAGCCUCGAGGUAAAGAGUCAUGGAGGUAGAGCACUGUUUGGACUAGGGGCCCUUCUCGGGUUACCGAAUUCAGAUAAACUCCGAAUGCCAUGUACUUAUACUCGGGAGUCAGACUGCGAGUGAUAAGAUCCGUAGUCGAAAGGGAAACAGCCCAGACCACCAGUUAAGGUCCCCAAAUAUAUGUUAAGUGGAAAAGGAUGUGGGGUUGCUUAGACAACCAGGAUGUUGGCUUAGAAGCAGCCA